GAUGAACGCUGGCGGCGUGCCUAAUACAUGCAAGUCGAACGCAUAGCGAAAGGUGCUUGCACCUUUCAAGUGAGUGGCGAACGGGUGAGUAACACGUGGACAACCUGCCUCAAGGCUGGGGAUAACAUUUGGAAACAGAUGCUACUACCGAAUAAAACUUAGUGUCGCAUGACACACAGUUAAAAGGCGCUUCGGCGUCACCUAGAGAUGGAUCCGCGGUGCAUUAGUUAGUUGGUGGGGUAAAGGCCUACCAAGACAAUGAUGCAUAGCCGAGUUGAGAGACUGAUCGGCCACAUUGGGACUGAGACACGGCCCAAACUCCUACGGGAGGCUGCAGUAGGGAAUCUUCCACAAUGGGCGAAAGCCUGAUGGAGCAACGCCGCGUGUGUGAUGAAGGCUUUCGGGUCGUAAAGCACUGUUGUAUGGGAAGAACAGCUAGAAUAGGAAAUGAUUUUAGUUUGACGGUACCAUACCAGAAAGGGACGGCUAAAUACGUG
rnacentral:rRNA from 1 species